UCAAAGCGAGGGAAAUCCAAAAGACGAGAGGCGGCAAAAUUUACCAAAUUUUGUUGAAACACAUAUAUUAGCUCUGUAUCUCUUCUCCCUCUCCAAACACUGAACAGUUUCAUAAUCCAAAUCGGAUAUACUUCGAAAUCUCUAUAUUGAGCUACGAUAUUCAGCUUCUCAUGAUUGUUCUGAAGUUCUCCAGGAGCGUUGUUGAUUUGGAUUGAUGUUUCAACUUGAAUAUGCAGCAUCGGUUAUGACUAUUUGAGAUCUCUUUCAUUGAUGCUUUUGAGGUGUAGUCAGAUUGAAGUUGUAACACAGUGAUAUAAACAUCGAUGGCAGUUUCUAGAGGAAUCUGCGGUCAACAGCGGGAUUUUGCAGUGAGAUGCAUGUUACUUUUGCGAGGUGAAUAUAUGCCUUUAUGAUGGCUUUAUUACGAGUUUGUAAACUUCAAAUUAAAGUGUAAAGUGGUCAUAUGUUGAUCGUGGUUUAAGAUGAAUAUGAGUUAUUCCGUUAGUUGGUUUCCUUAUAUA